rnacentral:rRNA from 1 species
AGAGUUUGAUCCUGGCUCAGAUUGAACGCUGGCGGCAGGCCUAACACAUGCAAGUCGAGCGGAUGAUGGGAGCUUGCUCCUGGAUUCAGCGGCGGACGGGUGAGUAAUGCCUAGGAAUCUGCCUGGUAGUGGGGGACAACGUUUCGAAAGGAACGCUAAUACCGCAUACGUCCUACGGGAGAAAGCAGGGGACCUUCGGGCCUUGCGCUAUCAGAUGAGCCUAGGUCGGAUUAGCUAGUUGGUGGGGUAAAGGCUCACCAAGGCGACGAUCCGUAACUGGUCUGAGAGGAUGAUCAGUCACACUGGAACUGAGACACGGUCCAGACUCCUACGGGAGGCAGCAGUGGGGAAUAUUGGACAAUGGGCGAAAGCCUGAUCCAGCCAUGCCGCGUGCGUGAAGAAGGUCUUCGGAUUGUAAAGCACUUUAAGUUGGGAGGAAGGGCAGUAAGUUAAUACCUUGCUGUUUUGACGUUACCGACAGAAUAAGCACCGGCUAACUCUGUGCCAGCAGCCGCGGUAAUACAGAGGGUGCAAGCGUUAAUCGGAAUUACCGGGCGUAAAGCGCGCGUAGGUGGUUUGUUAAGUUGGAUGUGAAAGCCCCGGGCUCAACCUGGGAACUGCAUCCAAAACUGGCAAGCUAGAGUACGGUAGAGGGUGGUGGAAUUUCCUGUGUAGCGGUGAAAUGCGUAGAUAUAGGAAG